GGGCUGCCUGCCCCUUCCCAGCGAAACCAUUCAAACCACUCGAGGGAGAAACUGAGGGUCCCCCCAACUUCUCAGGGAGGAAGAACAUCUAGGGCCCCCCCCACAGACUCCCACAGACUGGCCUCUGUGUCCCCCAACACCCAGCGGCGGGGAGGGAGCGGGGGCAACUUUAGAAAUAAUCUGGUAGAGAAACGCAUCAUGAAAAUCAGCCAUUCCCAGCGCUGAGAGGUGGCUGUGUAGCUUCCAGAAAAAACCGAUGUGGCCUUUUCAGACAGAGCCAAGGAAAGAAUGUGUGUCGCAGGCCCUUUCCGGAAGUGCUUACUAGAGGAGAGGACUGCCCAUCACUUCCAAAGCCAAGCCAGGGGGAGCUGGGCUUCCUUGGAGAAGAGCUGGAGGAGAGGUCUUCUCUUUCGGAAGCUUCCUGUGCCAGGGGCCUGCCCACCCCUGCGCCCACCCUGAUGAACCCAGGUGCCACCUUCCUAAGGCAGUUCACCCACGUCCUCAGGGGCCUGGAACCCCUCAGCCCAGCACAGAGCCCUCUGCAAGGUCUCUUCUGUGGCUGUGAGGCUCCGUGUGGAGGGUGCUCAGAUGUGCCCCCUUAACCGCAGUCCUCCACACUCCCUCCUCCUGGACCACACCAGACUCCUUUCCUGGGUUCUGCUGCUGACUGCCCGUGGCCGUUCACAAGCCCAGCCUGAUAACGUGCAGGGUGAAUGAACAUGCCGUGGUGAAUGAACAUUUUAAAGGCACAAACAGAAGUGAUGGCUCCAAGCUGAAAAUACCCUCGAAGCCACAAACUCUGUUACCUUCAAAGAAGCCAGAGUCAGACCUCUGAGAUCCCUCUAUGCAGACCCCAAGUUCCCAUGGAUUUCUCCUGCAGAGUCAUUUGUCUUGCCCUCAGCAAGCCCAGAGGAUCUCACGGUUCUCACCAGAGU